UUCCCUGUGGAUACGAUAAAACCUUUAACCGGGUAAAAGCUACAACGGUAUCCGUGCGCUUGCGGAUUUAUGCGUAUAAAUACCAUAGUACACUCUAGUGCCAUGCUGGGGAUGACAACCUAGUUUUCAAGUGGUGUUAGCAAGUGUCAACAAGCAUUUUUGGCGCCAUUGCUGGGGAAACGGUUGCUGAGUUGACUACGAACUAGCUUAAUCAUUUUCUAAAAAAUAAAAAAAUA
rnacentral:lncRNA from 1 species